GGGGCCGUAGCUCAGACGGGAGAGCGUCGCGUUCGCAAUGCGAAGGUCGGGAGUUCAAUCCUCCUCGGCUCCACCA
rnacentral:tRNA from 1 species